rnacentral:rRNA from 1 species
UACGUAGGGUGCAAGCGUUAUCCGGAAUUUAUUGGGCGUAAAGAGCUCGUAGGCGGUUUGUCGCGUCUGCUGUGAAAACUGGAGGCUCAACCUCCAGCCUGCAGUGGGUACGGGCAGACUAGAGUGCGGUAGGGGAGAUUGGAAUUCCUGGUGUAGCGGUGGAAUGCGCAGAUAUCAGGAGGAACACCGAUGGCGAAGGCAGAUCUCUGGGCCGUAACUGGACGCUGAGGAGCGAAAGCAUGGGGAGCGAACAGG